CAGUAGCCGCGGUAAUACGAAGGGUGCAAGCGUUACUCGGAAUUACUGGGCGUAAAGCGUGCGUAGGUGGUGGUUUAAGUCCGUUGUGAAAGCCCUGGGCUCAACCUGGGAAUUGCAGUGGAUACUGGGUCACUAGAGUGUGGUAGAGGAUAGUGGAAUUUCCGGUGUAGCAGUGAAAUGCGUAGAGAUCGGAAGGAACAUCUGUGGCGAAGGCGACUAUCUGGGCCAACACUGACACUGAGGCACGAAAGCGUGGGGAGCAAACAGGAUUAGAUACCCGUGUAGUCCCUGUCUCUUAUCA
rnacentral:rRNA from 1 species